AAAAUAAAAAAAUUCUGCGUUCGGGGGGAAUCGAACCCCCGUCGAAUGCUUGGAAGGCAUCCAUGCUGACCAUCACA
ensembl:ncRNA C31E10.10 ncRNA